rnacentral:lncRNA from 1 species
CAAAACCAAAACUCUUGGUGACGCCACUAGCGCUGCGCCGCCUGCCACACACCACUUCCGGUGUGCCAUUUCCGGCGCGCCACACCCCUCGCCGAGCCAGUCGGGCGGGAAGGCGCUAGGCUCCUCCCUGCUGGCGGCCAUAGCAGCAGACGCAGGCCGCCUCGCUGGGCUUUUCCGGCCUGGGUCCUCGGCGUCGCGGAGUUUCUGGGCGGAUUUUACCACGUGCGCCUUGCCGAAUCUGCAUGCAGUACCAGGGGGACUCCUACGGUGCCUUUCCAGACUUUCAUGCGAAGCUCCCACUUCAGUCCGGAAAACGGAGCCACCGGAUGCCAGAGCCCGGCCUUAAAAGACAUGGAGCAGAAACCAAGGGACCACCGCCCUACCACCACCCUCCUCCCCGCCCCCCAUCACAAGUUUCCCAGAUUUCCUGAUGUCUCGGGAUUUGAAUGUUCAUUAUGGCCGGUGAGAGAUGGCUGA